rnacentral:tRNA from 1 species
GGCUAGGUAGCAUAAAGGCAAUGCAUAAAGUUGCAAACUUCGUAUAUGUAGGUUCGAAUCCUAUCCUAGCUUCA